rnacentral:rRNA from 1 species
UACGUAGGGUGCAAGCGUUAAUCGGAAUUACUGGGCGUAAAGCGUGCGCAGGCGGUUGUGCAAGACAGAUGUGAAAGCCCCCGGCUCAACUGGGGAGGGUCACGCGAUACUGAUCGACUGGAAGGCAGGAGAGGGUAGUGGAAUUCCCGGUGUAGUGGUGAAAUGCGUAGAUAUCGGGAGGAACACCAGUGGCGAAGGCGACUACCUGGCCUGUUCUUGACGCUGAGGCGCGAAAGCUAGGGGAGCAAACGGG